CUGUCACUGGUGCAAUUGGCCAGAGUAAUUGAAAGGUUAAACAAAGGAGCAGGACUGUCAAAACUGACUGAAACCAACUGGUACAGAGCUAUCAGAAAGAACAGAAUACUCAAACAGACAAAUUCUGCAGAUGCUGGAAAUCCAGAGGAACACACAAAGUACUGGAGGAACUUGGCAGUUAACCAGCUGGAUGGAAAACCAUUUGAUGGAGCAGAGAAUGAUGUAAAACAUAAUCCCAUGUGGUUGGAAUGCUGAGGACAAACACUUAUCAAAAUAAAG